rnacentral:rRNA from 1 species
CGCCACGCAGCAUGGUGACGGGAAUUGGGAAGAUGUUCAUCAGGGCGGUAGGAAGAUCAGAUUACCAUGACGGGGGAUACGUAAUGUGCGGGGGAGCAAAGGGGAGGGUAAAAGGGAGAUGGAUACACANGUGGCGCACGGCCGGAAAAGACGGGGGACAACUUUCGGGCGAGUUUUUCCUAUAGGUUGCCAGUUAACGCGUUGAUUACUCCUCUUGGCGAGUCUGGCUCGAAAGGUCGGAACUUAAAACAACCGCCGGGGGCCGCCACAACCGUUGGAGCAUGUGUUUAAUUCGAAGCAACGGGAAGAACGUUCCCAGGUCUUGCAAUCCUUUGACAUUCUUAGAGAUAGGACGUUCCCUUUCGGGGGACAGAGUGACAGGUGGUGCAUGGUUGUUGUCAGCUAGUGUCGUGAGAUGUUGGGUUAAGUCCCGCAACGAGCGCAACCCUUGAUCUUAGUUGCCAGCAUUCAGUUGGGCACUCUAAGGUGACUGCCGCUGACAAACCGGAGGAAGGUGGGGAUGACGUCAAAUCGUCAUGCCCCUUAUGACCUGGGCUACACACGUGCUACAAUGGAUGGUACAAAGGGCUGCAAGACCGCGAGGUUUAGCCAAUCCCAUAAACCCAUUCUCAGUUCGGAUUGCAGGCUGCAACUCGCUUGCAUGAAGCCGGAAUCGCUAGUAAUCAGCGGAUCAGCAUGCCGCGGUGAAUACGUUCCCGGGCCUUGUACACACCGCCCGUCACACCACGAGAGUUUGUAACACCCGAAGUCGGUGGGGUAACCGUAAGGAGCCAGCCGCAUAAGCUGGGACAGAUUGAUUGGGGCGAAGUCGGAACAAGGUAAAUGCCCAAGCCAUGGCGCCCCGGAGAAUGUGGCUAGUGGGGCCACUUUGCCCUAUAGGAGUCCCACAUGAGAUCUUA